ACAGCAGCAGCCACGGUAAUACGGAGGAUCCAAGCGUUAUCCGGAAUCAUUGGGUUUAAAGGGUCCGUAGGCGGUCUUGUAAGUCAGUGGUGAAAGCCCAUCGCUCAACGGUGGAACGGCCAUUGAUACUGCAGGACUUGAAUUAUUGGGAAGUAACUAGAAUAUGUAGUGUAGCGGUGAAAUGCUUAGAGAUUACAUGGAAUACCAAUUGCGAAGGCAGGUUACUACCAAUUGAUUGACGCUGAUGGACGAAAGCGUGGGUAGCGAACAGGAUUAGAUACCCCUGUAGUCCCUGUCUCUUAUAC
rnacentral:rRNA from 1 species